AGUGAACGCUGGCGGUAGGCCUAACACAUGCAAGUCGAACGGCAGCACAGUAAGAGCUUGCCCUUACGGGUGGCGAGUGGCGGACGGGGGAGGAAUACAUCGGAAUCUACUUUUUCGUGGGGGGUAACGUAGGGAAACUUACGCUAAUACCGCAUACGACCUACGGGUGAAAGCAGGGGAUCUUCGGACCUUGCGCGAUUGAAUGAGCCGAUGUCGGAUUAGCUAGUUGGCGGGGUAAAGGCCCACCAAGGCGACGAUCCGUAGCUGGUCUGAGAGGAUGAUCAGCCACACUGGAACUGAGACACGGUCCAGACUCCUACGGGAGGCAGCAGUGGGGAAUAUUGGACAAUGGGCGCAAGCCUGAUCCAGCCAUACCGCGUGGGUGAAGAAGGCCUUCGGGUUGUAAAGCCCUUUUGUUGGGAAAGAAAAGCAGCAGGUUAAUACCCCGCUGUUCUGACGGUACCCAAAGAAUAAGCACCGGCUAACUUCGUG
rnacentral:rRNA from 1 species